rnacentral:rRNA from 1 species
CAUAUCGGUAUAUCCUACGGGAGGCAGCAGUGGGGAAUAUUGGACAAUGGGGGAAACCCCGAUCCAGCCAUGCCGCGUGAGUGAUGAAGGCCUUAGGGUUGUAAAGCUCUUUUACCAGGGAAGAUAAUGACGGUACCUGGAGAAUAAGCACCGGCUAACUUCGUGCCAGCAGCCGCGGUAAUACGAAGGGUGCUAGCGUUGUUCGGAAUUACUGGGCGUAAAGCGCGCGUAGGCGGCUUAUCAAGUCAGGGGUGAAAUCCCGGGGCUCAACCCCGGAAUUGCCCUUGAAACUGAUAAGCUAGAGUGUCGGAGGGGAUAGCGGAAUUCCUAAUGUAGAGGUGAAAUUCGUAGAUAUUAGGAGGAACACCGGUGGCGAAGGCGGCUAUCUGGACGACAACUGACGCUGAGGCGCGAAAGCGUGGGGAUCAAACAGGAUUAAGCAUCCGCCUGGGAGUCCACGUGCAACGAUAAAACUCAAAGAAAUUGACGGGGACCCGCACAAGCGGUGGAACAUGUGGUUUAAUUCGAGGCAACGCGAAGAACCUUACCAGGAUUUGACAUGCCUCUCGCGGACUCCCGAAAAGGAGUCCUUCGGUUCGGCCGGAGAGGACACAGGUGCUGCAUGGCUGUCGUCAGCUCGUGUCGUGAGAUGUUGGGUUAAGUCCCGCAACGAGCGCAACCCUCGUUCUCUGUUGCUAACAGGUUAGGCUGAGCACUCUGAGAAAACUGCCGGUGAUAAGCCGGAGGAAGGUGGGGAUGACGUCAAGUCCUCAUGGCCCUUACAUCCUGGGCUACACACGUGUUACAAUGGUGGUGACAAUGAGUCGCGAUCCCGCAAGGGCUAGCUAAUCUCAAAAAGCCACCUCAGUUUGGAUUGUACUCUGCAACUCGAGUACAUGAAAUUGGAAUCGCUAGUAAUACGCGGAUCAGAACGCCGCGGUGAAUACGUUCCCAGGCCUGUACA